GGGGGAAUGAAACUUUGAUAGCAAAAAUGACAUCUGUAAAACUUUUAGACUAUGUUUAGACUAUGUUUCCCCACCCUCACUUUCUGGCUUGGAAAUUUUGUAACAUCUGUAAGUAACAAAGAUAUACAGCUUUAUAGUACAUACAGUUUAAAAAGUAGAGUCACUAAUAGUUUUCUAAUUUAAGAUUUUAUAGGUUGCCAGUCACAAUAUUGAUUAUGAAAAAAGAAACUCGACCCCUUAAAAUUAUUUUUAAAAUUACAGCUAGUUUUAAACUUUACAGUCUCCCUUACUGCCUGGUCUUUUUGAAGAUAAUGUAGCACUUCCAUCAGUAAGAUGCUCUGCUCAUUUAAUAUAUGAAAACUGAAUGUUAAGUUUAAAUAUUAAAGCAAUAGAAAACAUGUUAAAGAUUUAGAUCUAAGGUUAGCCAUCACUAUAUAGGUCCCUGGUUUUUGUAUCACAUGACCUUUGACCAUGAAUUGCCCACCCUACUUUAAAUAUUUAUACAGAUUCCUGAAGGUGGCUUGAAGAACUGUGUAUCCCAAAUAUUUCAACCUAGAAGCCAGUCUCUUUCGGUAGCUACAAGAUAACUUUAUAGAGUUCAGGUUAUAAAGUGCAAAAGGGAAUGAGAAACGGGGGAUCUGGCAGGUGAAUAUGCCUGAGUCAGGUAACAGAUGAUGCCAGGAGAUGAAGUGCUGGAAAUCACUGCUGAAGGUGACCAGAGUUUCUCAUUACGUCAUUGGGCGUGUGAGAAGCAGCACAGAUUGGCAAAGAAACGAGGGGCUGUCGCAUCCGGGCCGGACGCCUCAAGUCUGCUCACUGCUGACCAUGAGCGUGCUCAUGGGUGACGCGGUGCUCGUACACCACGCCAGUGACUUCCCAGUGAAGAGCAAUCUUACGUAUUUCACACAUUAACUGUGUUGCCUACAGAAUUUACAGAUGCUUAUAUCAUAAAAUAUUAUGGUAUAAAAAUACAGGUUUUAAUCCUAAUUUUAAUGUAUUUUAGUUUUGUAUUGUACCUGCGACUUCAAAUACCUAGGUGUACAAGUGGGAUGCCUUGUUAGUGUUGCCCCAUCUUGCCUUCCUUGCAAUUGGAUCCUUUACACUGAAUUCCCAUCCUUUUUUUUUUUCCUUUUUUUUGUUGGUUUGUCAUGAUUCUGUUCUUUUUUAAUGUAGGUUUUUUUGUGUGUAAAUUUUAUAUUUACUGAAGUAAAGGUUGUUUUUGUGUAAACAUUUAAACUUUAAAAAGAGAAAAGAAGCUAAUUUUGUUUCUCAAGUUCUCUCUGCUAAACCAUGCAGUAGAAGGAAAUUUGUAUUGUUAAAUAAAUCAAUUAGUUGUUAAAUGAGAA